rnacentral:rRNA from 1 species
CCCUUAGAUGUUCUGGGCGGCCCGCGCACUACAUUGGCACUCUCAAUAAGUUCCUAGAUCUAAAACUUUGGGGUAUUCUAUUAAGUGGUGUCGUGACUGGGAUUAACCCUUGCAAUUAUUGGUUAUGAACGAGGAAUUCCUUGUAAUCGCGGUUUAUCAGCCCGCGUUGAAUGCGUCCCUGCCCUUUGUACACACCGCCCGUCGCUCCUACCGAUGAAUCGUCCGGUGAAGUUCAUGGAGUGGUGGUUGUUCCAGCUGCUGUCGAAGUGAAAUGGACCUCACGAUUUAGAGGAAGGAGAAGUCGUAACA